ACUGGCUUUGGCAGAGUAGAACAUAUAACCAGCAUCUGAUGCAUUUCCUUAAGAAUCAGUGUGUUUGCAAAUUGUUCCGUUGCAUCUUAAAGGAAUCUCAUCUGAGUAACGGAGAGCUGACUAGUGAACAUAGUUGGAUGAAUUCCCUCAGUACUCCUGAAAUAUAACAGAGCAAGGAACAGUAUAAUGAAAAAUAACAGAGAGAGUAGCUAGGGGCUUAACUUCUGAUCAGUGUUCAUUACAACAAAUGACACUUUCCCUGCAGAGUUACCAUAAAGAUUAUUGACUCUUACGUAAUGUGGUUCCCAUCUGAAUAGACCUGAGAACAGCUUAGCCUGUGAACGGAGGAGCUGAAGCAAGAGGAGGACUGAAGAUGUACUCAGUACCCUUAUUCAUUUUUUCAAUUAGUGAAAUUUCAAUUGUGAGCUGCCCGUUCAGAACCCUGGACAGAGCAAAAGAGAGCGAACCUUCUUCCAGGAAGACCCUCCAUGAUAUCUUUGGCAUAGACUAGCAUGGUUUUAUGUCGUAUUCAACAAAGACCAGGCUCAGAAAGUGACUAAACUUGUUGGUAGUUUUAUAUCCAAGACUCCCUCCUUACAUUCUCUGCCAUUUGAUAUUUUCCUCAAGCAUACAUGUUACAACAUUUAAAAACAUGUAUCUCUUCGGGAAGAAACUGUGUUUUGUAGAAAAUGUUGGGCACACAACCAUAAGGCAUUUUGCAACUCUGGUUUCAACCAAGUUUAGAAUGGACAACCCAGUUCUGAGCACAGUGCAUAAUAGCCUGGGUUUACUGGGCAUCCGUUUGGUACCUGCUAAGCACUUUUUGUUAUUUCGUCCUCCCAACAACCCUGUGACGUGUAUACUGUUAUGAUCGGUCCCAUUUUCCAGAUAAGAAAGUAUGCUCAGAGAGAUUGGUAACUUCUCCAGGGUUACCCAGCUGCCAGUUAUUAGAGAUAAACUUCAAAACCAGGUCUCUCUAGCAAUCUGCCAGACAUUUUUACUUCCAC